UACAGAGGUCUCAACCGUUGUUCGGAUUCAUUGGGCGUAAAGGGUGCGUAGGCGGUCGCGUAAGUCAGGUGUGAAAUCCCAGGGCUCAACCCUGGAACUGCACUUGAUACUGCGUGGCUAGGGUACUGGAGAGGAGACUGGAAUUUACGGUGUAGCAGUGAAAUGCGUAGAUAUCGUAAGGAAGACCAGUGGCGAAGGCGAGUCUCUGGACAGUUACCGACGCUGAGGCACGAAGGCUAGGGGAGCAAACGGG
rnacentral:rRNA from 1 species